rnacentral:lncRNA from 1 species
UUGGUAAAAAUUACAAUGUAGAAUAUUGAUGUCUUUGGUGGUUUUACAAAAUAGGUGCAUUCUUGAUGGAAGAAAUUCACAUGGCUUCUAAUUCUUAAGAAAUUGACAAGAAAUAUGCACUAAACCAGGAAGGUGUCAUUUGAAAAAUAUAUAACUAAAACAUUUCAAUAAGGACAAGAGUAUAGACUCUUCCAGAACUAUUACAAAUGUUCAUCACAGUGAAGAGGUAACCAGUGUGAUUUGAAUCUCUGCUGUUGAAUAUUAUCUAUUAAUUUAAAAUGCUUGUCAGAGAGCUAUGGAUUUUAUUGCAGAUUCCUUUUAUAUAAAAAAGCGCACCACCCUAAGUAUGAUGAUGCUGUGUGUGAGACUUCUCGUUCUUAUAAAAUGUAAUCUGUUCAAUGGACUUGUAUGUCUCUUUCAAAUGACGUACCACUCGAUGUGCUGCACAAUAUAAAAGCUAUGACCGACUUUGAAAACCUGGGGUAGAAAAGACAGAAUUAGUCAAAGGAUGGUCUUAAUUUUUACCUAUAGAUGACUGGAGGCUGACUUUGAAAUCAUCAAGGAUUGUACAUACACAAAGAAAUGUUAAAAAGUAAAAAAGACACAAGCAAGUUAAAUAGUAUUCAUUACUGUCUGCAGCUUGCACACUUGGAGCACUUCCCCCAUCCUCAUGCGCAGGCACUCAUUCAUGAUAUUGUUUUUAAAUCUGAGGGUUUUAAUAGAAGUGGAAGUAUUAAUUCUCAUUUGCAUCUGCUUUAUGUCUUGUUCGUCCUGCUUACUAGCAGGUAAGUUGGAACGGGUAGUGUUUUCUACACAAAUGACUUGUUCUACUCUAGACUACAAGUAGCAGAAAUACCAUUGAUUAAUUAGCAUUCAGAAGGAACCCCUGGCAUACGUGCAUCAUUCGAAAGCAACUGUGAGAAAGCAGCCCUGAGGCCUUUGAGAAGAUGGGCUUUCAGAACACUGAAGUGCUGCUACUUGCACUGAAUAGGCAAUUAUGCCAGUCCAUUGCACAGGGCACUGUGGAUCACACAGCCAUGAUGGUGCUUCACAGCAGCGAUUGGUCCAGAUGUUUAAAUUCUGAUUAUGCUUGACUUAGAAACAUUCCAAAAUAUGUGCUUUAAUUAUAGACAUGGAAGUAAUUUGUUCUCUUCCUCAUCCAUCACCAUGCCAUGGCUGACAUUUUUCUAACUAGUGCUUUGUUUCAUGCAUUUGUAAACAUAUAUUCUAUCAUUUUUCUGCAACUGUGUUCCAAUUACUCCUUGGGUAUAAUUUGCUACAUGAAAUAUAUAAAUGCUAUUUCCAUACAGUUACUAAUAUAUUCACCAAAUAUAGUUCAUCUAACUGGCCAACAUGAAACAGUUUCAUAAAAUAGGACAAGAUGUACUCUACAAUGUAAGUAGCUAUAAAAUAUGUAAUAAAUUAUGGAGCCUAAUAAUAUGUCCAAAGGGCUUCAGCACUUACAAUAUGUGACUCUCUUUGUAAGAACUGACAGUCAACAUCACCUUAAUACAUUCUUUUUUACACAUUCUUGGAGUCCCUGACUUUUGUAGACUCUAAAGCCAUUAGUGUCAAAAUCUUUGACAAGAUUUGCUCAGGGGAAUUAAGAGUCUACUCUGGUGAGUACUAAUUCUGUGUCCACUGACUCUGCAGAUUUCCAUUUAGUUUGUUUUGGUUGAACAAUACUCUGAGUUGCUUCUGUUUUUCAUAAUAAAGGCUCAUCUUUUAACUUUCAUUUCUAGUUCAAUCCACUGGAAUAAUUAGAUGGCACCCAAGCUCUUUAUCAAGAAAUUAUAACACAUCAUGAUGAUGGAUUGUUUUUAUCUCGUCAAAGACUCAGUAUAAUUUAAUUCCAACUUAAUUAUUUUAAAUGAAAGAGCCAUAAUAUAUAGCAGCCUACUUAGAUCCAAGUGUUACUUUCCAAUUGCAAAUUCUCUGUUCCCAUUUUUCAACCUUCCAAAUUAUCACUGACAAUUAGGCAGCAUUUAACAUUUGUCACGUUUAUCUUCACAGAUGCCGUGACACCUAAGGUGACUAAGGAUG